rnacentral:rRNA from 1 species
CAAACGCAUGCCGGCGGCCUACCAUGCAGUCGAGCGGAUGAGGGAGCUUGCUCCUGGAUUCAGCGGCGGACGGGUGAGUAAUGCCUAGGAAUCUGCCUGGUAGUGGGGGAUAACGUCCGGAAACGGGCGCUAAUACCGCAUACGUCCUGAGGGAGAAAGUGGGGGAUCUUCGGACCUCACGCUAUCAGAUGAGCCUAGGUCGGAUUAGCUAGUUGGUGGGGUAAAGGCCUACCAAGGCGACGAUCCGUAACUGGUCUGAGAGGAUGAUCAGUCACACUGGAACUGAGACACGGUCCAGACUCGUAGGGGAGGCACUGUGGGGAAUAUUGGACCAUGGGCGAAGGCUGAUCAGCCAUUGCGCGUGUGUGGAGAAGGUCUUCGGAUGUAAAGCACUUUAGGUUUGGAGGGAGGCAGUAAGUUAAUACCUUGCUGUUUUGACGUUACCACAGGAUAAGCACCGGCUACCUUCGUGCCAGCAGCCGCGGUCAUACGAAGGGUGCAAGCGUUAAUCGGAAUUACUGGGCGUAAAGCGCGCGUAGGUGGUUCAGCAAGUUGGAUGUGAAAUCCCCGGGCUCAACCUGGGAACUGCAUCCAAAACUACUGAGCUAGAGUACGGUAGAGGGUGGUGGAAUUUCCUGUGUAGCGGUGAAAUGCGUAGAUAUAGGAAGGAACACCAGUGGCGAAGGCGACCACCUGGACUGAUACUGACACUGAGGUGCGAAAGCGUGGGGAGCAAACAGGAUUAGAUACCCUGGUAGUCCACGCCGUAACGAUGUCGACUAGCCGUUGGGAUCCUUGAGAUCUUAGUGGCGCAGCUAACGCGAUAAGUCGACCGCCUGGGGAGUACGGCCGCAAGGUUAAAACUCAAAUGAAUUGACGGGGCCCGCACAAGCGGUGGAGCAUGUGGUUUAAUUCGUAGCAACGCGAAGAUCCUUACCUGGCCUUGACAUGCUGAGAACUUUCCAGAGAUGGAUUGUGCCUUCGGGAACUCAGACCCAGGUGCUGCCUGGCUGUCGUCUGCUCGGUCGUGAGAUGUUGGGUAAGUCCCGUAACGAUGCCACCCUUGUCCUUAGUUACAGCACCUCGGGUGGUACUUAAGGAACUGCGGUGACAACGAGAAGGGGAUGACGUCAGUCAUCUGGCCCUUACGGCGCGGGCUUCAACGUUCUACAUGUCGUACAAGGUUGCCACGCUCGAGGUGGAGUUCAUCCCAUAAAACCGAUCGUAGUCCGGAUCGCAGUCUGCAACUCGACUGCGUGAAGUCGGAAUCGCUAGUAAUCGUGAAUCAGAAUGUCACGGUGAAUACGUUCCCGGGCCUUGUACACACCGCCCGUCACACCAUGGGAGUGGGUUGCUCCAGAAGUAGCUAGUCUAACCGCAAGGGGGACGGUUACCACGGAGUGAUUCAUGACUGGGGGAAGUCGUAGCUAUGAGGUUAUGGCGUC